rnacentral:lncRNA from 1 species
UCAAAGGGCUGACACCUGGGGAGGCUGAUAAGGACUCUCUGGCAUCCAGGGUGUGGCAGGCGGGCCAGUGGAGACUGGUCUCAGCAGCAGUAGCCUCCAGCUGCCAGCACGCCUGGCCACCUGCCUGAGGGUGGCCCCCCUCCGCCAGGCCCCCCCCACCCCGCAGGCUGCCGGCAGAGCCCCCUCGACUCACUGGUCCAAACGCCCCCAGUUCCAGUGGGUGGGCGGGCCAGGCUCAGGGCAGGCAGGUGGAGGAGAGGGAACUCUGGUGCCCGCCCCCCACCUCCGCCGCAGGAGGGCCGAGCAAACCGGAAGUCCUCGUCCCUCAGCCCCCGCCUCACCCCUUGGGUCCUAGGCUCUGGCAUCCCAGGGAGUCAAGGGCAGGGGGGUUUCUGGGACGGCCCUCCGCCCACGUCCCUGGGACCUGCCAGUCACACCCAUCGGCCCUCCUCUGUCUCCAGGCAGGACCGCCCGUCCUGCCAACCUCUCCCCUACCCGCCUCCCUCUCCGGGAAGCCUCUCCCUGGGGCUUGCUCUUGUCACCUGGGUCACUUGACUGCCCCACUGCUACAUGCAGGAAAGGGGUCCCCAGCCCUGGCUCAGGAUCCGGAUCCUAGACAGCUCGUCUAGGGCCUCGGGGGCGGAGCGCGUUCCGUUGACUCAGCGCGGAAAGUCCUCGUGGGCGGCCCGGGCGUGGGACAAGCGCCCGACUGACGUCCGCGCGGGGGCGACAGGGCUGACGCAGAGCGGCGGGGGAUUCCUGCUCCGCGGGGAGAGGUGCCCAUGGGCCACUGCAUCCUCUCCGGGCCCAGGGAUGACAGAGGCAGCAGAGCCAGCCUCUCCCUGGGGAUUAGGUCACCUCUGCAAAUGCGGCCUUGACUGGCUGGCUGGACCAGGGGAACAGUCCCACUCUGGCUGGGAGGAGAGCUGGAACAUCCCGGGACCACACAACAGCCACCACGGGGCCCAUCAGGAGCUCCAGCCAAUGCAGGUAGAGGCCAGGGGAAGGAGAAGCCUGGGAGCUGAGGCAGGAGGAACAGAGGGUGCUUGGCGUUAUCAGGAGGUGACCCGAGCUGACGUGGCUCUGUAGCCAGCAGGGAAGGUGGUCCUGACCCCAAAGUCCCAGGUGUGGGUUUUGUGAAGACAGGGGUGCACUUGGCCCUCCCCCCCAGGAGGCCCCCUCUCCCUGGUAGAGGCUGGUCUUCCAGACUUGGGGCACAAAGCUGGCCAGCGGGCUGCAGAGGAGGCACUGCUGAGCUUGACCCCUCAUGGAGAGCCCAUGAGACAAGCUGGGAGGGGACUCAGGGCUCCCGGGCCCCAGACACACAGUGACAAGUGCACUCCUGGCCUGAGGACUGCACACGCCAGCCACAGCAGCAGGAAGCUGAGGGGAGUGUGGGUGGGAAGGCUGUGAGUGACAGGACAGGUCAGUCCCCUCCCCGGGUCUGUACCCGGGGAGGCCUGGCCCUACUUCUCCGAGCCCCAGUCUCUGGCUCCCGGCUACACCUCCAGGGUGCUGGCCAGAGACCUGGCAGCGCUGCCCUCUAGAGGGACUGUGGCUCUGGCAUCUCUGGGGAAGGAGUGGCAGGUGGCCAGCGUGGGAAGACAGGCCCUGUGGUGCUCUAAUGCAGGGCAGGGGUCCCAGCAGCCCCUCCCACCAGUGGUGGAGCCUGCUGGGGUGGGGAGCAUAGGUGGGCGAGGCAGCAGGAGGGCGUAGGACUUGGCAGCGACCAUUUGGUGAGGUGAG